CACGUUUUUGUUGGGUGUUGACCCAGUGGGACUGCUGGCUGAGGGCACAUGUGCCCUUCCUCACAGGCACACUGAGCUGUCUGCCAAAGGGGUCGUACCAGACGAGCAAGCUAUUUUUAUCCCAGUUGGUCAAGACCACUCUCUUCCAGUCUGACUCCCCCUUCCUCCCAGAUCCCCUCAUUUUGUAUUCGUAAGAUUGCAUUCUUUUUCUUAAAGAGGGCCUCCCACAUCAUAGAAGCUUCAGACCCCACAAAACCUGGCUGUACCCCUGACGGGUGGCUUUGAGACCAUGGUGCAGUGCCAGGAGCAAUAGCAGCCAUCUUGCAAACAAGAGGAAAAAGCCAAGAGAAUUGCAGAGACACCAGCCCUGACAUCAUUUGCCUGGAAAAACAAUGCCAGCCAUAGCUGAUCUCCAAGCUCACCGUGAUAGGGGAAAAUAAACUCUUUGUCAAGCC
rnacentral:lncRNA from 1 species